rnacentral:pre_miRNA from 1 species
UGGACAGAUUAUUGUAUUCGACUGUAUUCACGGCGUGAAAUAGGGGAUUACACUGUUUUUAAAACGGAAAGUCAAUCAAUUAACAUAAUAGACUCAU